rnacentral:rRNA from 1 species
UACGUAGGGGGCAAGCGUUGUCCGGAUUCAUUGGGCGUAAAGAGCGUGUAGGCGGCCAGGUAGGUCGGUUGUGAAAACUGGAGGCUCAACCUUCAGAGGUCGACCGAAACCAUCUGGCUAGAGUCCGGGAGAGGAGAGUGGAAUUCCUGGUGUAGCGGUGAAAUGCGCAGAUAUCAGGAAGAACACCCGUGGCGAAAAGCGGCUCUCUGGAACGGUACUGACGCUGAGACGCGAAGGCGUGGGGAGCGAACGGG